rnacentral:lncRNA from 1 species
CCACAUGUCAAUGGCCUUGCCUAGCCAUUAGUUUUGGCUUCUCUGACCUGCUUUGACCCAACACCACACUAACUAACUUAAUGGCCUGGUCAUUUGCCUGUGUGCUCCCAGAUCCAUCCAUGCUUUGCCCUUUCCAUGCUGUCUGUAUAGCAUACAGUUGAUUCCUGCUAGCUCUAUUUUCUAAGCACAUUUCCCAUACCCCAAAGGAAUCAAGCCAAUGAAAGAUAAAAGUUGACCUUGGGAGAAAACAAUAUAUGCCCCUCACCUAUCCCUACCAACCUAUUCCUCUCCACACUGUAGUUUGAUUUUGGCAGCUUCUUCACAGGCUGACUUCGCUCUGCAUUUGUGGCUGAGGAUUCUGUUAAUGCAUGCUUCAGAGAUGUCUUCAGCCCUAUAAAUGGAUGGUAGAGGCUUGCUACUAUUGCUGUCAUCUGAAGUGACCCCUUCUUUCUCAGUUUGACUUUUCAGCUCUUCCAGCACCUUUGUAUCUUGUUCCUGAUAUUAAAUGCCCUCAACUGAACACCUGCUGUAGUCUCUGAUUUCUGAAAGGAC